UUUUCACAUGGGUCUUGGGUUGCUGAGGCCCAGAAAUGACACCAUGGCUCACUGCACACAUGGUCUGUGCAAUUAGCACUCCAGGCAUAUGUUUAGCAAAAGGAACAGUAGGUCACCUGUUCCCUGCCCUGCAGCCUGAACCGCUCAACAUUUCUCUAAUCGCUGAUGUAAUUGAGAUAGACAGUUAACCAACAACUGUGGAAUUCUAACACUGCGCCAGCUCACGGAGGCGACAGACACUCAGCCCCCGAGAGGGGAGUACUUUGCUACAGGAUUUUUCAAUUUGCAAUCAAGGCUGCUGUGGGAAAGGUAAAAGAAGGAAGAAAGCCUCAGACCUUCAACAGCAGCUAUAGGUCAUGACCUAUGACAACGAGUGGAAAGCAUGUUUUAGUGAUUCCUGCCAGAUAACAGUAGCUCAGGGAGCUGGCUCCCCAGGAUUUCAGCUUCUUGUAAGAAACAAACCAGGUCAGCAGCGAAAAGGGUGGAGGAACUUUCCAUGAGUCAAUCAUCUGGCUUUGGUGCUUUGUUUCAUUGCUUGUGUUGGGGUACAGGGCCUGAGCUGAUAAGCACCUUCACCUUUGCUCUAAGGUGUCCUGCAUGUCUGUGGAGAAGGGAAAGAACCAAAAAGGAGACUGUAUCUGCUGGAAUUACAGGAACUGAAACGAGAUGACCACAUUAGAAGAUGAUGAGAAGACCACAUUAUUUCAGCUCUGCGAACGGCUCCCUGAAGCAUUACAAAAGCCAAGGGAAAAAUAUAAACACACAUACUAGACAAACAUGUGUCCUUGAGUCAAAUCUGCUCACAUUUCCUGCUCCACAGCAAGAGCUGGCCUGUGCAUUUAGGGGAAAGCACAUUGGAUUCUAUUCUUUCUUGAGCACUACGAAAAUUGUCAACUAAUUUCUAAUGGCGAAAUUGUUACUGAUGAAGAUGACAAAAGAGGCAGUUGGAUCCCAACUGUCUGGUCCCAGGCAGAGUCCCAUCAAAAUAAUUUGCCUUGAAAAACUGAUGCAAUCUGAAAAACACUGUGUCAGAUUCCCUGGUCCUUAUUCAGUUCUGACUCAUGGACAAAACUCCCGGCGACUUCAAAGGGCGGAAUAUGGAUUGUAUAAUUUGGCUCAGAGGGAAUAAGCACAAGAACCACA